GACGAACGCUGGCGGCGUGCCUAAUACAUGCAAGUUGAGCGCUGAAGGUUGGUACUUGUACCAACUGGAUGAGCAGCGAACGGGUGAGUAACGCGUGGGGAAUCUGCCUUUGAGCGGGGGACAACAUUUGGAAACGAAUGCUAAUACCGCAUAAAAACUUUAAACACAAGUUUGAAGUGUGAAAGAUGCAAUUGCAGCACUCAAAGAUGAUCCCGCGUUGUAUUAGCUAGUUGGUGAGGUAAAGGCGCACCAAGGCGAUGAUACAUAGCAGAACUGAGAGGGUGGUCGGCCAGCUUGAGAGUGUGACCCGCCCCAAUCUCCUUCGGGUGGCAGCCGUAGGGCAUCUUCAGCCAUCGGCGGAAGUCUGUCCGCGCUGCGCCGAGUCCGUAAAGAGGGUUUUCGGGUCGUGGAACUCUGUUGGUAGGGAAGAACGUUGGUGCGACUGGAAAGCACAUCGAGUGACGGUAACUACCCAGAAAGCGACGGCUAACUACGUG
rnacentral:rRNA from 1 species